UACGUAGGGGGCAAGCGUUGUCCGGAUUUAUUGGGCGUAAAGAGCGUGUAGGCGGUUUGGUAGGUCCGCUGUGAAAAUUCGAGGCUCAACCUCGAGACGCCGGUGGAAACCAUCAGACUAGAGUCCGGAAGAGGAGAGUGGAAUUCCUGGUGUAGCGGUGAAAUGCGCAGAUAUCAGGAAGAACACCCGUGGCUAAGGCGGCUCUCUAGUACGGUACUGACGCUGAGACGCGAAAGCGUGGGGAGCGAACAGG
rnacentral:rRNA from 1 species